ACGGAAGGCAGCAGUGGGGAAUAUUGCACAAUGGGGGAAACCCUGAUCCAGCGACGCCGCGUGAGUGAAGAAGUAUUUCGGUAUGUAAAGCUCUAUCAGCAGGAAAGAAAAUGACGGUACCUGACUAAGAAGCCCCGGCUAACUACGUGCCAGCAGCCGCGGUAAUACGUAGGGGGCAAGCGUUAUCCGGAUUUACUGGGUGUAAAGGGAGCGUAGACGGUUUUGCAAGUCAGAAGUGAAAGCCCGGGGCCCAACCCCGGAACUGCUUUUGAAACUGUAGAACUGGAGUGCAGGAGAGGUAAGUGGAAUUCCUAGUGUAGCGGUGAAAUGCGUAGAUAUUAGGAGGAACACCAGUGGCGAAGGCGGCUUACUGGACUGUAACUGACGUUGAGGCUCGAAGGCGUGGGGAGCAAACAGGAUUAGAUACCCUGGUA
rnacentral:rRNA from 1 species